AGAGUUUGAUCAUGGCUCAGAACGAACGCUGGCGGCGCGCCUAACACAUGCAAGUCGAACGAGAAUCCGGGGCAACCCGGUAGUAAAGUGGCAAACGGGUGAGGAAUGCAUGGGCAACCUGCCCUUGAGAAGGGAAUAACCCGCCGAAAGGUGGGCUAAUACCCUAUACGCUAUCUUCUUUUCGGAAAAGAUAGGAAAGCUUGGUCGAGGACUCGGCACUCAAGGAGGGGCUCAUGUCCUAUCAGCUUGUUGGUGGGGUAACGGCCUACCAAGGCUACGACGGGUAGCUGGUCUGAGAGGAUGAUCAGCCACACUGGCACUGAGAUACGGGCCAGACUCCUACGGGAGGCAGCAGUGAGGAAUAUUGCGCAAUGGGCGAAAGCCUGACGCAGCGACGCCGCGUGGGGGAUGAAGGUUUUCGGAUUGUAAACCCCUUUCAUGAGGAAAGAUAAAGUGGGUAACCACUUAGACGGUACCUCAAGAAGAAGCCACGGCUAACUUCGUGCCAGCAGCCGCGGUAAUACGAAGGUGGCAAGCGUUGUUCGGAUUUACUGGGCGUAAAGAGCACGUAGGCGGUUGGGAAAGCCUCUUGGGAAAUCUCCCGGCUUAACCGGGAAAG
rnacentral:rRNA from 1 species